rnacentral:rRNA from 1 species
GCUCAACCGGGGAGGGUCAUUGGAAACUGGGGAACUUGAGUGCAGAAGAGGAGAGUGGAAUUCCUCGUGUAGCGGUGAAAUGCGUAGAGAUGUGGAGGAACACCAGUGGCGAAGGCGACUCUCUGGUCUGUAACUGACGCUGAGGCGCGAAAGUGUGGGGAGCGAACAGGAUUAGAUACCCUGGUAGUCCACGCCGUAAACGAUGAGUGCUAAGUGUUAGAGGGUUUCCGCCCUUUAGUGCUGCAGCAAACGCAUUAAGCACUCCGCCUGGGGAGUACGGUCGCAAGACUGAAACUCAAAGGAAUUGACGGGGGCCCGCACAAGCGGUGGAGCAUGUGGUUUAAUUCGAAGCAACGCGAAGAACCUUACCAGGUCUUGACAUCCUCUGACAACCCUAGAGAUAGGGCUUCCCCUUCGGGGGCAGAGUGACAGGUGGUGCAUGGUUGUCGUCAGCUCGUGUCGUGAGAUGUUGGGUUAAGUCCCGCAACGAGCGCAACCCUUGAUCUUAGUUGCCAGCAUUCAGUUGGGCACUCUAAGGUGACUGCCGGUGACAAACCGGAGGAAGGUGGGGAUGACGUCAAAUCAUCAUGCCCCUUAUGACCUGGGCUACACACGUGCUACAAUGGGCAGAACAAAG